rnacentral:rRNA from 1 species
GACGGAGGAGGCAAGCGUUAUCCGGAAUUAUUGGGCGUAAAGCGUCCGCAGGUGGCGGUUCAAGUCUGCUGUCAAAGGUCGGGGCUUAACCCCGGGAUGGCAGUCGAAACUGAAUAGCUAGAGUGCGGUAGGGGCAGAGGGAAUUCCCGGUGUAGCGGUGCAAUGCGUAGAAAUCGGGAAGAACACCAGUGGCGAAAGCGCACAGCAGGGCCUACCCUGACACUGAGGGACGAAAGCUAGGGGAGCGAAAGGG